rnacentral:rRNA from 1 species
GACGAACGCUGGCGGCGUGCCUAACACAUGCAAGUCGAACGGAAAGGCCCUGAUUUUGUGGGGUUCUCGAUUGGCGAACGCGGGAGUAUCACGUGUGUAUCCUGCCCUUGUCUUUGGGAUAAGUUCACGAAACUGGGGCUAAUAUCGGAUAGGAUCUCCUGCUGCGUGGUGGGCAUGGGAAAGUUUCGGCGGUCGGGGAUGGACUCGCGGCUUAACAGCUUGUUGGUGGGGUAGUGGCUGACCCAGCGUUUGACGGGUAGCCGGCCUGGGAGGGUGGCCAGGCACAUGAGGACUGCGGGAGGCACCAGACGGCAACGUGAGGCAGCAGGGGGAAGUAUUACACAGUGAGCGGGCGCCUGAGACGGCAGCGCCGCGUGCGGAAUGACGGCCUUCGGGUUGUGAACCGCUUUCGCCUGAGACGAAGCGUGAGUGACGGUAACGGGUAAAGAAGCACCGGCUAACUACGUG